rnacentral:rRNA from 1 species
UACGGAGGGGGCUAGCGUUGUUCGGAAUUACUGGGCGUAAAGCGCACGUAGGCGGCUUUGUAAGUUAGAGGUGAAAGCCCAGGGCUCAACCCUGGAAUUGCCUUUAAGACUGCAUCGCUAGAAUUGUGGAGAGGUAAGUGGAAUUCCGAGUGUAGAGGUGAAAUUCGUAGAUAUCGGGAGGAACACCGGUGGCGAAGGCGGCGACCUGGGACAAUACUGACACUGAGGUGCGAAAGCGUGGGGAGCAAACAGG